CAGCCGCCGCGGUAAUUCGUAGGGUGCAAGCGUUAAUCGGAAUUACUGGGCGUAAAGCGUGCGCAGGCGGUUCGGAAAGAAAGAUGUGAAAUCCCAGAGCUUAACUUUGGAACUGCAUUUUUAACUACCGGGCUAGAGUGUGUCAGAGGGAGGUGGAAUUCCGCGUGUAGCAGUGAAAUGCGUAGAUAUGCGGAGGAACACCGAUGGCGAAGGCAGCCUCCUGGGAUAACACUGACGCUCAUGCACGAAAGCGUGGGGAGCAAACAGGAUUAGAUACCCUGGUAGUCCACGCCCUAAACGAUGUCAACUAGCUGUUGGGGCCUUCGGGCCUUGGUAGCGCAGCUAACGCGUGAAGUUGACCGCCUGGGGAGUACGGUCGCAACAUUAAAACUUAAAGGAAUUGGCGGG
rnacentral:rRNA from 1 species